rnacentral:rRNA from 1 species
GAUGAACGCUAGCUACAGGCUUAACACAUGCAAGUCGAGGGGCAGCAUGAAGUUUGCUUGCAAACUUUGAUGGCGACCGGCGGAUGGGUGAGUAACGCGUAUCCAACCUGCCCCCUUCCCGGGCACAGCCCUUGGAAACGAGGAUUAACUCCCGAUGGCGUCGCCUUAACGCAUGUUUCGGCGACCAAAUGUUUAAGGAAGGGGAUGGGGAUGCGUCCCAUUAGCUUGUUGGCGGGGUAACGGCCCACCAAGGCUCCGAUGGGUAGGGGUUCUGAGAGGAAGGUCCCCCACACUGGAACUGAGACACGGUCCAGACUCCUACGGGAGGCAGCAGUGAGGAAUGUUGGUCAAUGGAGGCAACUCUGAACCAGCCAAGUAGCGUGAGGGACGACUGCCCUACGGGUUGUAAACCUCUUUUGUCGGGGAAUAAACCGCGCCACGUGUGGCGCUCUGCAUGUACCCGCAGAAUAAGGACCGGCUAAUUCCGUGCCAGCCGCCGCCGUAACAC